UGGACUCAGAGGUGCCCAAAGAUCCCAAAAUUGAAAAUCCCAGUCUUCAUUUAGGUACUUCUUUAUUAUAGUGAUUUUUCUUCACAAGAAUUAAGGUGAAAAUAUUACUCAUUGCCAGUGGUAUUUCAGUUUACUGAUCCUCACCAAAAGGUACUUGUUUGAAAAGCACUGACCUUUAUUAAUGUUAAUAAAAUGAUAAGUUAUCCAUGUAAAGUACUUUGAAAAAAAAAUUAUAUUAGAAAUAAGUGAAUGCUGCAUCAGACAUCAAGUGAGUAAAUAAGAAGGCCACAUUUUAAAGCAGCAUGUAGCUAAUUGUUUAGUGUUACAAGUUUACAUGUUUAAAACACUAAGAUCUUUGGAUAAACUAUUCUUAUCACCAGUCCAGUCAGCAUGUCAACAAUGGACUCUAUUUACAGGCCACUUUGGUCAGUACACACACAAAAAACACACUUGUCACUAUACAGUCAGUACACACACACAGCACAUUGUCAUGAUACAUGUGUAAAACAAAACAACAGCUAUUCUUGUGUAUAACACAUAAUGACCUGUUUUCUUUGUAUCAAAUAUUGUAAACAUAAUUUCGUUUGUUUUAUUCAGACAGACAUUUCUAAUGUUCUUGCAUCUCAUGUCAGUGCCUGCUCAAUGGACCUCAUUCACCAAUCGUAAACAAACAACAUUUAGCAUAGUGGUACUCUAUCUCUUCUAUAUAAUUUACGAUCUCAUGUUUAAUUCAUGAUGGUUGUCACAUGACAGUUUUUUCCCGUUGUUUUAUCACGUGACAAAAUGUUGUUUGUUUACAAUUGGUGAAUGAGGUCAAUUGAACUUGUUCCACUUGUGAUAGCCUUUAUCCACUGCUUGAUAUUGUACACCAGGAACAACAAGCUGGCUUCACAACAGAAGCUUUCAAUUCCCUGUGAUGUAUAAGAACAAAUAUUUUAAAAUGGUUAUUUUUUAAUGCAUGUUCUUAUCAUGACUAUUGUCUUGUAAAUUUGCAUUUGUCACCUUCAAAAAAGAUUAUUGUUUGUAAUAGUCUCUACUUGAGCCCUGCAUGACAUUGACCCUAUGAGAAAUACAUUGUAAACCUAUAGAUAAUCCAAUACAAUGAAACUGACAUCUCU